CGCGUAGAAGUAAAGAGAUAGAGCUGCAAUGUCGCUCCCAAGACUCAGCUUGACAUGCGUUUCAUUCUGGUGCCUUGAUCUUUUGACGGGGUAGUGGAACUGCUUGUGUGUGUUUUGUGCACUUCUUGGGAGUGAGCACUGCGACCGGUAUUUGUGCUGGUAGAAGCUUGGAUUUUCGUGGGCAGACCCAUUCGGUAUCUGAUUCCCAUUUUCCAUAGCCAACCUGGUUGCGGAGACCGUGUAAUUUUGUGUCGGCUUGUCUCGGACUGUGUGGCAAUGCGUCAUCUGAAAUUCUGCAGUCUGCUUGCAGGCUGUGGUAACUCUUGGCGUAUAUGCCGUGCUUUUCCGAAUCGGCGCAAAGUGUCUGCAGUGUCUGUGUCAGCCACCUAUCUCACCCGUCUUGAAACACGGACCAAGGAGUCUAACAUGUGCGCAAGUCAUUGGGUGGCAAACCCAUAGGCGCAAUGAAAGUGAAACUAGCAGGAUCCCCAUAUGGGGCGCACUGCUGUCCUGUCUUUUAUGCAUUGUCAUUUUGGCAGAGAAAGAGCGUACCUGUUAGGACCCGAAAGAUGGUGAACUAUGCCUGAGCAGGAUGAAGCCAGAGGAAACUCUGGUGGAGGUCCGUAGCGAUUCUGACGUGCAAAUCGA
rnacentral:rRNA from 1 species